rnacentral:rRNA from 1 species
UCUCGCGUCAGGAUAUGCCUAGGUGGGAUUAGCUAGUUGUGAGGUAAUGGCUCACCAAGGCGACGAUCCCUAGCUGGUCUGAGAGGAUGAUCAGCCACACUGGAACUGAGACACGGUCCAGACUCCUACGGGAGGCAGCAGUGGGGAAUAUUGCACAAUGGGCGCAAGCCUGAUGCAGCCAUGCCGCGUGUGUGAAGAAGGCCUUCGGGUUGUAAAGCACUUUCAGUCGUGAGGAAGGUAGUGUAGUUAAUAGCUGCAUUAUUUGACGUUAGCGACAGAAGAAGCACCGGCUAACUCCGUGCCAGCAGCCGCGGUAAUACGGAGGGUGCGAGCGUUAAUCGGAAUUACUGGGCGUAAAGCGCAUGCAGGUGGUUUGUUAAGUCAGAUGUGAAAGCCCGGGGCUCAACCUCGGAAUAGCAUUUGAAACUGGCAGACUAGAGUACUGUAGAGGGGGGUAGAAUUUCA